GCGUGCUUACACAUGCAAGUCGAACGAUGAACCUCCUUCGGGAGGGGAUUAGUGGCGAACGGGUGAGUAACACGUGGGCAAUCUGCCCUGCACUCUGGGACAAGCCCUGGAAACGGGGUCUAAUACCGGAUACUGACCCGCUUGGGCAUCCAAGCGGUUCGAAAGCUCCGGCGGUGCAGGAUGAGCCCGCGGCCUAUCAGCUUGUUGGUGAGGUAAUGGCUCACCAAGGCGACGACGGGUAGCCGGCCUGAGAGGGCGACCGGCCACACUGGGACUGAGACACGGCCCAGACUCCUACGGGAGGCAGCAGUGGGGAAUAUUGCACAAUGGGCGAAAGCCUGAUGCAGCGACGCCGCGUGAGGGAUGACGGCCUUCGGGUUGUAAACCUCUUUCAGCAGGGAAGAAGCGAAAGUGACGGUACCUGCAGAAGAAGCGCCGGCUAACUACGUGCCAGCAGCCGCGGUAAUACGUAGGGCGCGAGCGUUGUCCGGAAUUAUUGGGCGUAAAGAGCUCGUAGGCGGCUUGUCACGUCGGUUGUGAAAGCCCGGGGCUUAACCCCGGGUCUGCAGUCGAUACGGGCAGGCUAGAGUUCGGUAGGGGAGAUCGGAAUUCCUGGUGUAGCGGUGAAAUGCGCAGAUAUCAGGAGGAACACCGGUGGCGAAGGCGGAUCUCUGGGCCGAUACUGACGCUGAGGAGCGAAAGCGUGGGGAGCGAACAGGAUUAGAUACCCUGGUAGUCCACGCCGUAAACGGUGGGCACUAGGUGUGGGCGACAUUCCACGUCGUCCGUGCCGCAGCUAACGCAUUAAGUGCCCCGCCUGGGGAGUACGGCCGCAAGGCUAAAACUCAAAGGAAUUGACGGGGGC
rnacentral:rRNA from 1 species